UACGUAGGGUGCAAGCGUUAAUCGGAAUUACUGGGCGUAAAGCGUGCGCAGGCGGUUUGCUAAGACAGGUGUGAAAUCCCCGGGCUUAACCUGGGAACUGCGCUUGUAACUGGCAAGCUGGAGUGUGGCAGAGGGGGGUGGAAUUCCACGUGUAGCAGUGAAAUGCGUAGAUAUGCGGAGGAACACCGAUGGCGAAGGCAAUCCCCUGGGCCUGCACUGACGCUCAUGCACGAAAGCGUGGGGAGCAAACAGG
rnacentral:rRNA from 1 species